rnacentral:rRNA from 1 species
GGAUUAGAUACCCUGGUAGUCCACGCCGUAAACGAUGUUUACUAGGUGUUGGUGGAAUUCACCCCAUCAGUGCCGGAGCUAACGCAUUAAGUAAACCGCCUGGGGAGUACGGUCGCAAGAUUAAAACUCAAAGGAAUUGACGGGGGCCCGCACAAGCGGUGGAGUAUGUGGUUUAAUUCGAAGCAACGCGCAGAACCUUACCCAGCCUUGACAUCUUCGGAAUCCCUGCGAAAUCAGGGAGUGCCUCCUUACGGAGGAAUCGAAUGACAGGUGCUGCAUGGCUGUCGUCAGCUCGUGCCG